rnacentral:rRNA from 1 species
UACGUAGGGGGCUAGCGUUGUCCGGAAUCAUUGGGCGUAAAGCGCGCGUAGGCGGCGAUUCAAGUGACGGGUGAAAUCCCUCGGCUUAACCGAGGAACUGCCUGUCAGACUGGGUUGCUUGAGACCGGGAGAGGCGAGUGGAAUUCCCAGUGUAGCGGUGAAAUGCGUAGAUAUUGGGAGGAACACCAGUGGCGAAGGCGGCUCGCUGGACCGGAACUGACGCUGAGGCGCGAAAGCGUGGGGAGCAAACAGG